UACGUAGGUGGCAAGCGUUGUCCGGAUUUACUGGGUGUAAAGGGCGUGCAGCCGGGCUGACAAGUCAGAUGUGAAACCCCGCGGCUCAACCGCGGAACUGCAUUUGAAACUGUCAGUCUUGAGUACCGGAGAGGUCAUCGGAAUUCCUUGUGUAGCGGUGAAAUGCGUAGAUAUAAGGAAGAACACCAGUGGCGAAGGCGGAUGACUGGACGGCAACUGACGGUGAGGCGCGAAAGCGUGGGGAGCAAACAGG
rnacentral:rRNA from 1 species